AACGCAGCGAAGGGCGAUAACUAAUGUGAAUUGCAGAAUUCAGUGAAUCAUCGAGUCUUUGAACGCACAUUGCGCCCCCUGGUAUUCCGGGGGGCAUGCCUGUCCGAGCGUCAUUGCUGCCUCAAGCACGGCUUGUGUGUUGGGCUCCGUCCCCCCGGGGACGGGCCCGAAAGGCAGCGGCGGCACCGAGUCCGGUCCUCGAGCGUAUGGGGCUUUGUCACCCGCUCUGUAGGCCCGGCCGGCGCCAGCCGACAACCCAUCAUCCUUUUCAGGUUGACCUCGGAUCAGGUAGGGAUACCCGCUGAACUUAA
rnacentral:rRNA from 1 species